UGCCAUGGUACUGGGACAGAGCAUCUGCUCCUGCAGAAAUAACUUCUACAAACUCUCCUCUGAUAACCAGACUUGUGUUGAUGUGGAUGAGUGCACUGACAGCUACCCAUGUGUUGGGAACAGCAGUACAUGCUUAAAUACCAAUGGUGGCUUCUCCUGCAACUGUACCAAUGACUACAUACUUGGAGCUGACAAGUUGACUUGUGCUGAUCGUAACGGUGGUCUUACUAGCUGGACUAGCUGGGG